GAGGGUAUAGGUCAGUGGUAGAGUGCUUGCUUAGUAUGCAUGAGGUCCUCGGUUCAAUCCCCAGCACCUCCA
rfam:Camelus ferus unplaced genomic scaffold scaffold1508, whole genome shotgun sequence.